rnacentral:rRNA from 1 species
AUACGUAGGGUGCGAGCGUUGUCCGGAAUUACUGGGCGUAAAGAGCUCGUAGGUGGUUUGUCGCGUCGUCUGUGAAAUUCCGGGGCUUAACUCCGGGCGUGCAGGCGAUACGGGCAUAACUUGAGUACUGUAGGGGAGACUGGAAUUCCUGGUGUAGCGGUGAAAUGCGCAGAUAUCAGGAGGAACACCGGUGGCGAAGGCGGUUCUCGGGGCAGUAACUGACGCUGAGGAGCGAAAGCAUGGGUAGCGAACAGGAUUAGAUACCCUGGUAGUCCAUGCCGUAAACGGUGGGCGCUAGGUGUAGGGGUCUUCCACGACUUCUGUGCCGUAGCUAACGCAUUAAGCGCCCCGCCUGGGGAGUACGGCCGCAAGGCUAAAACUCAAAUGAAUUGACGGGG